rnacentral:lncRNA from 1 species
GAGGACUUGCACAAGUUUCGAAAUAGACAAUAUUUCAAAACGUUAGUAAUGUAGAUUGAUGUCAAAACAUUAUUGUGCUUGACAUGGAUCGAGUUUAUGUCACCCUCGAGGCCAAACCCUUUAGCCUUGAAUGAGAGGUUAGUGUUUUAAUACACUAAAAAAAGUCAUAUUAUUUAGGAAUUGAGCAACAUUUACACUCC